rnacentral:rRNA from 1 species
GUUAUAGGAUCAAGCGACUAAGUGCAUAUGGUGGAUGCCUUGGCGAUCACAGGCGAUGAAGGACGUAGUAGCCUGCGAAAAGCUGCGGGGAGCUGGCAAACAAGCAUUGAUCCGCAGAUAUCCGAAUGGGGAAACCCACCGCGCAAGCGGUAUCCCUGGCUGAAUACAUAGGCCAGUGGAGGCGAACCGGGUGAACUGAAACAUCUCAGUAGCUCGAGGAAAAGAAAUCAACCGAGAUUCCGAAAGUAGUGGCGAGCGAAAUCGGAAGAGCCUUUACGAUUUAGCAUUUUGCAUAGUCGAACGGAAUGGAAAGUCCGGCCGUAGCAGGUGAUAGCCCUGUAGACGAAAUGCAGAGUGUGGAACUAGGCGUAAGAGAAGUAGGGCGGGACACGUGAAAUCCUGUCUGAAGAUGGGGGGACCAUCCUCCAAGGCUAAAUACUCGUGAUCGACCGAUAGUGAACCAGUACCGUGAGGGAAAGGCGAAAAGAACCCCGGAAGGGGAGUGAAAUAGAUCCUGAAACCGUAUGCAUACAAACAGUCGGAGCCUCUUUAUGGGGUGACGGCGUACCUUUUGUAUAAUGGGUCAGCGACUUACAUUCAGUGGCGAGCUUAACCGAAUAGGGAAGGCGUAGCGAAAGCGAGUCCGAAUAGGGCGUCCAGUCGCUGGGUGUAGACCCGAAACCAGAUGAUCUACCCAUGGCCAGGUUGAAGGCACGGUAACACGUGCUGGAGGACCGAACCCACUAGUGUUGAAAAACUAGGGGAUGAGCUGUGGAUAGGGGUGAAAGGCUAAACAAAUCUGGAAAUAGCUGGUUCUCUCCGAAAACUAUUUAGGUAGUGCCUCAAGUAUUACUGCAGGGGGUAGAGCACUGUUAUGGCUAGGGGGUCAUGGCGACUUACCAAACCAUGGCAAACUCCGAAUACCUGCAAGUACAGCUUGGGAGACAGAGCACCGGGUGCUAACGUCCGGACUCAAGAGGGAAACAACCCAGACCGCCAGCUAAGGUCCCGAAUUAUCGCUAAGUGGGAAACGAAGUGGGAAGGCAUAGACAGUCAGGAGGUUGGCUUAGAAGCAGCCACCCUUUAAAGAAAGCGUAAUAGCUCACUGAUCGAGUCGUCCUGCGCGGAAGAUGUAACGGGGCUAAGCGAUAAACCGAAGCUGCGGGUGUGUACUAUGUACACGCGGUAGGAGAGCGUUCUGUAAGCCUGCGAAGGUGGCUUGUGAAGGCUGCUGGAGGUAUCAGAAGUGCGAAUGCUGACAUGAGUAGCGAUAAAGGGGGUGAAAAGCCCCCUCGCCGUAAGUCCAAGGUUUCCUGCGCAACGUUCAUCGGCGCAGGGUGAGUCGGCCCCUAAGGCGAGGCAGAGAUGCGUAGCUGAUGGGAAGCUGGUUAAUAUUCCAGCACCGUCGUACAGUGCGAUGGGGGGACGGAUCGCGGAAGAUCAUCAGGGUGUUGGAUGUCCCUGUUGCUGCAUUGAAGAUGGCGCUUAGGCAAAUCCGGGCGCGUAAAUCAAGGGUGUGGCUCGAGCGAGCAUGUCUCGCGAAGUGAUUGGAAGUGGUUCCAAGAAAAGCCUCUAAGCUUCAGCUGUACGAGACCGUACCGCAAACCGACACAGGUGGACGGGAUGAAUAUUCCAAGGCGCUUGAGAGAACUCGGGAGAAGGAACUCGGCAAAUUAAUACCGUAACUUCGGGAGAAGGUAUGCCCCGGUAGUGUGAGGCGCCUGCGCGCUGAGCAUGAUGGGGUCGCAGAGAAUCGGUGGCUGCGACUGUUUAUUAAAAACACAGCACUCUGCAAAGACGAAAGUCGACGUAUAGGGUGUGACGCCUGCCCGGUGCCGGAAGGUUAAGUGAUGGGGUGCAAGCUCUUGAUCGAAGCCCCGGUAAACGGCGGCCGUAACUAUAACGGUCCUAAGGUAGCGAAAUUCCUUGUCGGGUAAGUUCCGACCUGCACGAAUGGCGUAACGAUGGCCACACUGUCUCCUCCCGAGACUCAGCGAAGUUGAAGUGUUUGUGAUGAUGCAAUCUACCCGCGGCUAGACGGAAAGACCCCAUGAACCUUUACUGUAGCUUUGCAUUGGACUGUGAACCGGCCUGUGUAGGAUAGGUGGGAGGCGCUGAGCUCGAGUCGCUAGAUUCGAGGGAGCCGACCUUGAAAUACCACCCUGGUUUGUUUGCGGUUCUAACCUUGGUCCGUUAUCCGGAUCGGGGACAGUGCAUGGUGGGGCAGUUUGACUGGGGCGGUCUCCUCCCAAAGUGUAACG